rnacentral:rRNA from 1 species
AUUGAACGCUGGCGGCAGGCCUAACACAUGCAAGUCGAACGAGUGGCGGACGGGUGAGUAAUGUCUGGGAAACUGCCCGAUGGAGGGGGAUAACUACUGUAAACGGUAGCUAAUACCGCAUACCAUCGGAUGUGCCCAGAUGGGAUUAGCUAGUAGGUGGGGUAACGGCUCACCUAGGCGACGAUCCCUAGCUGGUUUGAGAGGAUGAACGGCCGCACUGGAACUGAGACACGGUCCAGACUCCUACGGGAGGCAGCAGUGGGGAAUAUGGCACAAUGGGCGCAAGCCUGAUACAGCCAUGCCGCGGGUAGGAAUAAGGCCUUCGGGUUGUAAAAUACUUUCAGCGAGGAGGCGUUACUCACAGAAGAAGCACCGGCUAACUCCGUGCCAGCCGCCGCGGUAAUUC